UGCAGGGUAUAGACCCGAAACCCGGUGAUCUAGCCAUGGGCAGGUUGAAGGUUGGGUAACACUAACUGGAGGACCGAACCGACUAAUGUUGAAAAAUUAGCGGAUGACUUGUGGCUGGGGGUGAAAGGCCAAUCAAACCGGGAGAUAGCUGGUUCUCCCCGAAAGCUAUUUAGGUAGCGCCUCGUGAAUUCAUCUCCGGGGGUAGAGCACUGUUUCGGCAAGGGGGUCAUCCCGACUUACCAACCCGAUGCAAACUGCGAAUACCGGAGAAUGUUAUCACGGGAGACACACGGCGGGUGCUAACGUCCGUCGUGAAGAGGGAAACAACCCAGACCGCCAGCUAAGGUCCCAAAGUCAUGGUUAAGUGGGAAACGAUGUGGGAAGGCCCAGACAGCCAGGAUGUUGGCUUAGAAGCAGCCAUCAUUUAAAGAAAGCGUAAUAGCUCACUGGUCGAGUCGGCCUGCGCGGAAGAUGUAACGGGGCUAAACC
rnacentral:rRNA from 1 species